GAAUCUUCCACAAUGGACGAAAGUCUGAUGGAGCAAUGCCGCGUGAGCGAAGAAGGUUUUCGGAUGGUAAAGCUCUGUUGUAAGGGAAGAACCGGUCCGGGAGUAACUGCCCGUGCCUGGACGGUACCUUUUUACAAAGCCACGGCUACCUACGGGCCCGACGCCGCGGUAAUACGUAGGUGCCAAGCGUUGUCCGGAAUUAUUGGGCGUAAAGCGCGCGCAGGCGGUUCUUUAAGUCUGAUGUGAAAGCCCACGGCUCAACCGUGGAGGGUCAUUGGAAACUGGAGAACUUGAGUACAGAAGAGGAAAGCGGAAUUCCACGUGUAGCGGUGAAAUGCGUAGAGAUGUGGAGGAACACCAGUGGCGAAGGCGGCUUUCUGGUCUGUAACUGACGCUGAGGCGCGAAAGCGUGGGGAGCAAACA
rnacentral:rRNA from 1 species